GCGUUCAUCAAACGUUCCAACGGUGUGUCACAACACCACUACAUGCGCUCUCUAAUCGACUAUCGUUUCAUCGCGCCAAAACAGAAAUAACAAAACAGUUAGUAGGCAUACUACCAAGCACUAUAACCAUAGUCACCGUCAUCAUCAGCGUUAUCAAUCCAAAACCAACAGAGUUCAAAGUAGCUCAAGUCGGGUUUUUGGCGAAACACCUCAAAGCCUCUCUCACUUCAUGGCUGUGUUACUUCGUUUUGCACAACGCUCCAACGAAGCCAGGCAAUUGGGCUACCCUCAUUAAAACAACAACGACAACACAACAUUGCUAAAGAGAUUACACUUUUAUAACUGAAAACUGAAGCAGCAGCGAACUGAAACUGUUGGCAAACCGUGUAACAAAACCAAAAUCCAAAACGCUAACAAUGAAUCGCAAAAACAAAUGGUAAACAAAAAAUAGAAACAUCGAUGGCGAUACCGCGAAAAUAGCAAAAAACAAAGCAAUGCGGCCAUAAAAAAUCUUCAGCACAACAAUACGUUCAACUUUUGCCUGAUACGUGAGUAAAUAAAGGAUGAAAACAUUGGACCAGCAGAACUCCGAAUGGAUCUUUUAACCUAAUCUAUAUCAAUAUAUUAUUAUACUGCGCUUUCAAGACUUGAGUUUUUACGGAAUGUUGGGGCGGAGAUUUGGACCGGGUUCAAUAUUGUUUGGACCCAUCCACUGGUGCCUAUCCACGCCUACUUUGGAAAAUUCUGAUAUACACAACUAUAUGUAUAGGCGAAGAAAUGUUCUCAGUACGUAUGAUUGAAUGUAGACUGCUCUGCUCGUUUUCGAAUGCCAAUAAAUACCUGCAACAUAGUAAAUAAACAAAGGACUACAUAUGGUUACUUAUAAUCAGAAACUACAUCUAACAUAAACAUGUAAAAAAGCAGCUAACUUUGUCCGGGUCAAACUUUUACUAACCUCUACCACUUGGAAGAAACUUGCAAAGUGUUGCAGUUAUAUAGAGCUUUACGAAAGCAUGGACCUCUACAACAAAUUAUGCGCCAGAAAGGUGGGCCUAUUACGAACUCCAAGCCCAAAGUUUGAUAUAAUUCUUUUAAAAGAUGUAGCUAAAAUCCUUAAAA